UACAUAGGGGGCGAGCGUUGUCCGGAAUCAUUGGGCGUAAAGCGCGUGUAGGCGGCCCGGUAAGUCCGCUGUGAAAGUCCAGGGCUCAACCCUGGGAUGCCGGUGGAUACUGUCGGGCUCGAGUCCGGAAGAGGCGAGUGGAAUUCCUGGUGUAGCGGUGAAAUGCGCAGAUAUCAGGAGGAACACCAAUGGCGAAGGCAGCUCGCUGGGACGUGACUGACGCUGAGACGCGAAAGCGUGGGGAGCGAACAGG
rnacentral:rRNA from 1 species